UUAUGUAAAAUUGUUUAGUGCAGAACUGCUUAGUGUAUCAUCAGCACCAAUUUGCUUUAGCUAUAUCCUACAGUUAGUAUAAAAGACCAGCUACUCCUAUAGGUUAUUCAGAAAAUAGAAAGUAGCACACACACAAAAACAACCACAGAAAAUAACUGGCCACAUUUUUAG